GUUAAUAAUAGUAAAAAAGAGCUCUACAUUAAUAAAGUUAUCCUCUUCCAUCUUUCAACUACACACGUUUCUCCACCACUCUGAUUCCUUUGUAAAGAAAACAUUAUUGAUAUACUCGAUAUUUGUCUUUUUCCAUGGUUGUUAGAGAAUUCAGCAAGCAGAUGAAGCAUAACAAGCCUUUCAAGAACAACUUCUCUCCAUUCCAGUUAUAGAAAAUAGAGUGAUGUUUAUAGAAAAAUCUAUAAAGCAUUGCGUCUCUUCUAGGUUUGUAAGAGGAGAUUCAACACAUAGGUUUCUGUACUUACUGCUCUCUUCCUCAAUUUGCUGAAAUGAUAAUAUACAGACGUGUUCUUGGAGUUCCCAUCUCUUUUUCAAGAUUGUUUAAAGUUGGAAAUUUAUUCAGUAGUGGCAUGUGUUAAAGAAGGAUUUUAGCCUUGUCUCGCCACUACUCAUCACUGAUCGCUCAUCAGGAUAGCUCAUCUGUUGGUCUAGCUCUUGUUGAUUUUUGCUUGAUAAAAAAAAUUAUGCAUUCUCAGAGUGCUCUUCUUAUCAAAGGUAAGUUUCUGCUUUCCUACGUGUAUUAAUGAAUUUAAUUCUAUGGUGCAUCUUGUUUAAUUACUCUUUUUAAAUUAUGGUUAUUAACUAAUCGAGCAGUGAGGGGUGGUCAGAUAUAAGUAUUGUUUAUCACCUUAGCUAUCUGCCGGACAUUUUUCCAAAGGAGUUUUUUUUAACUCUUCUUUUCAAGAUUUACUUUUCUUCUAAAUAAGUGAAAUGAACUUUUAGUUGUCCUGAUAGUGCCCCUAGAGUAUUCAUAAAUUUCUUUAUUGAAGUUUUAUGUCAUUCAUAAACACAUUAAUACAAACUCGUUCCUCAACUGGACAUACACAGCCUGCGAAUGAAACCUCUUCAUCUAUCUGCUUGUUAUAAUCAAAUCAUAUGAUAACCCUUUAGGAAGCACGAGCAUCUAUUGAUUUGAGAAGCACACUAUUGUAUAUUUGGAUGUAUGUUGCCUCUCACUAGCACUUCUUAGAUGAUCAUCUUCACUGUACAAUCCUCUUGUCUCCUUCUUUGCUAGAAUAUUUCAUUGUUCCUUUUGAACCAUAUCUAAUACACAACAUCGACAAGUGUGGCUCUAUAUACUAUAGCCAUGUUCCCCUUGACUUUCUCCCAGUUCAUGCACCAUUGAACUUCCUAUAUCCAUGAUCAGGGUGGUCUCAUUAUUCCUAGCCAAUCAAUUCAUAUGCUCUUGUUGCUGGACUUUCUUGGCUGGUGUCGCACAAUCAUUCACGGCACACUUGCAUCCCUUGAUGAUCAGUCAGUAUGUUGAAAUAGCUAAUGAAUUCUACUUAAUUGGGAUUUUCAUGAUUGGUGGGGUUAAUUCCAAGACAAAUUCUCAUCUUGUCACGGCAAACAUCAGUAGUAAAAUGCAACUUGUAGCAAUUGUACUUGUUGUCGUGGUACAAGUGGCUUUAUAUGCUGCACUGCAACUUCACUUGCUUGUACUCUCUUCUUGACCUAUCGUUUAGAGUAGUCCUUUUAAAUGGCUUCAACUGAAAGAGAGGACAAGAACUUGCCUCUUGGAAAUCAAUUUAUAGUUGUACGUUAAAGAACUUCAUCUGUAAAGAUCACCAGUUUUAGAGAAUUCUAUAUUAAGAUGUUUUAUUUUCUA